rnacentral:rRNA from 1 species
ACGGGUGAGUAACACGUGGGCAAUCUGCCCUUCACUCUGGGACAAGCCCUGGAAACGGGGUCUAAUACCGGAUAACACUCUGUCCCGCAUGGGACGGGGUUAAAAGCUCCGGCGGUGAAGGAUGAGCCCGCGGCCUAUCAGCUUGUUGGUGGGGUAAUGGCCUACCAAGGCGACGACGGGUAGCCGGCCUGAGAGGGCGACCGGCCACACUGGGACUGAGACACGGCCCAGACUCCUACGGGAGGCAGCAGUGGGGAAUAUUGCACAAUGGGCGAAAGCCUGAUGCAGCGACGCCGCGUGAGGGAUGACGGCCUUCGGGUUGUAAACCUCUUUCAGCAGGGAAGAAGCGAAAGUGACGGUACCUGCAGAAGAAGCGCCGGCUAACUACGUGCCAGCAGCCGCGGUAAUACGUAGGGCGCAAGCGUUGUCCGGAAUUAUUGGGCGUAAAGAGCUCGUAGGCGGCUUGUCACGUCGGAUGUGAAAGCCCGGGGCUUAUCCCCGGGUCUGCAUUCGAUACGGGCUAGCUAGAGUGUGGUAGGGGAGAUCGGAAUUCCUGGGAACGGUGAAAUGCGCAGAUAUCAGGAGGAACACCUGGUGGCGAAGGCGGAUCUCUGGGCCAUUACUGCCGCUGAGGAGCGAAAGCGUGGGGAGCGAACAGGAUUAGAUAUCCCUUAGUUUCCACGCCGUAAAUCGUUGGGAACUAGGUGUUGGCGACAUUCCACGUCGUCGGUGCCGCAGCUAACGCAUUAAAUUCCCCGACUUGGGAGUACAGCCGCGCAACUCUUAAACUUCAAAGAACUUGUGAGGGGCCCGCACAAGCAGCGGAGCAUGUGGCUUAAUUCGACGCAACGCGAAGAACCUUACCAAGGCUUCGACAUAUACCGGAAAGCAUGCAGAGAUCGGAGCCCCCCGUGGUCGGUAUACAGGUGGUGCAUGGCUGUCGUCAGCUCGUGUCGUCAGAUGUUGGUUAAAUUGGGCAACGAGCGCAACCCUUCUCCUGUGUUGCCACCUUCCCUUCGGGGUGAUGGGGACUCACAGGAGACUGCCGGGGUCAACUCGGAGGAAGGUGGGUACGACUUCAAGUCAUCAUCCCCCUUAUGUUGCGUGGCCCACACGCGCCAAUCAAUGGCCGGUACAGCUGCGAUGCCGCGAGGCGGAGCGAAUCUCAAAAAGCCGGUCUCAGUUCGGAUUGGGGUCUGCAACUCGACCCCAUGAAGUCGGAGUUGCUAGUAAUCGCAGAUCAGCAUUGCUGCGGUGAAUACGUCCCGGGCCUUGUCACACCGCCCGUCACGUAACGCAAGUCGGUAACAUCCAGAAGAAGGUGAGCCAA